UAGUGGCGACGGGUGAGUACGCGUAAGCAAUCUGCCCCUAAGACGAGGAUAACAGUUGGAAACGACCGCUAAGACUGGAUAGGAGACAAGAAGGCAUCUUCUUGUUUUUAAAAGACCUAGCAAUAGGUAUGCUUAGGGAGGAGCUUGCGUCACAUUAGUUAGUUGGUGGGGUAAAGGCCUACCAAGACUAUGAUGUGUAGCCGGGCUGAGAGGUUGAACGGCCACAUUGGGACUGAGACACGGCCCAAACUCCUACGGGAGGCAGCAGUAGGGAAUUUUCGGCAAUGGAGGAAACUCUGACCGAGCAACGCCGCGUGAACGAUGAAGUAUUUCGGUACGUAAAGUUCUUUUAUUAGGGAAGAAUAAAUGAUGGAAAAAUCAUUCUGACGGUACCUAAUGAAUAAGCCCCGGCUAACUAUGUGCCAGCAGCCGCGGUAAUACAUAGGGGGCAAGCGUUAUCCGGAAUUAUUGGGCGUAAAGGGUGCGUAGGCGGUUAAAUAAGUUUAUGGUCUAAGUGCAAUGCUCAACAUUGUGAUGCUAUAAAAACUGUUUAGCUAGAGUAAGAUAGAGGCAAGUGGAAUUCCAUGUGUAGUGGUAAAAUGCGUAAAUAUAUGGAGGAACACCAGUAGCGAAGGCGGCUUGCUGGGUCUUUACUGACGCUGAGGCACGAAAGCGUGGGGAGCAAACAGGAUUAGAUACCCUGGUAGUCCACGCCGUAAACGAUGAGUACUAAACGUUGGGUAAAACCAGUGUUGAAGUUAACACAUUAAGUACUCCGCCUGAGUAGUACGUACGCAAGUAUGAAACUUAAAGGAAUUGACGGGACUCCGCACAAGCGGUGGAUCAUGUUGUUUAAUUCGAAGGUACCCGAAAAACCUCACCAGGUCUUGACAUGCUCCUGCAAAGCUGUAGAAACACAGUGGAGGUUAUCAGUUGCACAGGUGGUGCAUGGUUGUCGUCAGCUCGUGUCGUGAGAUGUUGGGUUAAGUCCCGCAACGAGCGCAACCCUUAUUGUUAGUUACCAGCACGUAAUGGGGGGGACUUUACCAAGACUGCCAGUGAUGAAUUGGAAGAAAGGUGGGGACGACGUCAAAUCAUCAUGCCCCUUAUGACCUGGGCUACAAACGUGA
rnacentral:rRNA from 1 species